GACUAGAGGAGAAUCAAGCAGAGCUCUGACAGCACAGAGACCAUCAUGAGACAGAAACCUCUAGAGAUGCUCCUCACUUUGCCUUUUUGUCUCCUCAGCACCAACAUUUGUGGUGAAUGUGGCACAGAGCUCCUAUCAGGCAGAGGAGAACCACAACAUCACUCUGGAGUGGACCUUCACCACCAGACCUCAGGGAUCCUGGACAAAACUGGAUGUUAUCUGCAGUAGGCUGGCUCCCCUCAGAGCCUCAGUCCUCUAUCAGGCUCAUGAUGGUGUUGAGGUAUCAGAGUCUCUGGAUGAACAGUUUUCAGGACGUGUCCAGGUGGACAAAGACGUCCUCAGAGAAGGACGGAUCAGAUUCCAUGUUUCCAGAUUGACGACAGGAGACUCUGGGCUCUAUGUGUGUAACAUUAGGACUGACUAUGGGGAGGGCUUUGCAGAGUGCUGUGUCACAGUCACUGUCCCAGACUUUAUCAAAAUAAAGAAAACAGAGACGGUUCAUGAGAGAAACCUCCCUAUUCCAACACCGAAGGAUGAGACCAUUGAUGCUGGUGGUUGGUCCAGGCUGUUUCCCCGCUUUCACUUUGUUUUCUUCAUCAUUUUCAUUAUCGUCUUCAUUAUUUGUCUGAUUGUUUACAUCAGCAUAAGAAAAAACAGCUGAAAGAAGGUUUCAGAAAAAUCCCGAGUCAGGCCUCAGCCUUGCAGAUUACUGCCUUGCUCAUGGGCAGAGCUGCAUUGAUGUAGAUGGGAGCUACACAAAGUCGUCUCUCCUGCAGCUUCCUAAGGAUUAAGAUCCCACCCUGCAGCAGAAUCCUGGAGAUCAGUCCUCGUAUCAGUCAGAGUUCUAUCGAUGAAACCAGGUUCUCCAUGUUUGCUGUCAGGUUCUGCAGGAAUCCUCCAAACCUUCAGAUGAUCAAACGUUCUGGGUUUAUCUCGAGGAAAAACAAUGAUUUGACUUUUCAGAGCAGAAAAGAAUAUUAUAGUUUUAGUUUCUUUUAACUUGAGCUUUUUAUUGUGUUAGUUAAUUUGUUAGUCAUGUUUAAACUUUAGAUUAAACUGAUCUGGCAUCAUGUUCAAUUUAAGGUCUUCAUGUAGUUGCUGAUCCAUCUGUUUAACUCAGGUUAACUUUUAGCAGAACCAGGUCUGUUGAUCAGAUUGAAGCUUUUUUUUUAGGAGAUAUUGAAAUUGUUCU